CUCAGAGUAUCCUGCCUUUGGCAAAUCGUGCUGUUAAGACACUGAUCAGAUCAGCUCUGAAAAAGAUCUGAUGUGAUUGGUCAAAAUACCAAUUAGUGGGGGGAAAAAGAUCAGAAUUGGGCUGCCUGUGUAAACGCAUACAUGGUCUGUGAAGAAAUAUCCACAGAUUCAGUUUCAUGCAAUAUGAACUGAAUUGAAUGAUUGUACUUGGGGAAACUACUGAAUCUAAUAUUUAGCCAUUUAACCAAACAUCAGAAACUACAAUGACACAGUUCAACAACAAACGGUCUAUCCUCUAAUACAGGAGGACAAUUUGCUCUCCACCAGUCAUUGAAUAACUGCAUAUCACACUUCCACCUGAGUGCUGAACUGUUCAUAAAUCUUAAACGUGGCCGUAUUUUAAAGUAAUAUUAGAUUGACUCACAGGACAAGGGUGCAGUUUUCUCCUAGCCCAGCACUAAUGGUUAGUGACUUGAGUUAUUAGUGGUGGAUUCUAGGGUCAAUUUGAGGUCAAUUGACUGGUCAGGAACACCUGGUGUCCGUCCUGAAGGUUAUAAAUCAGCGUUCAGGAGGUGUGGCGGCAGGGGAAGAAGGCACACGGUUGAAACCAUGGCACCAAGAAGGAUAAGGAAAAUCGGCAAUCAGACAGAAGGACACGCAGAUGGUCAAAUUAGCAAGGAGAUACGCCAAAAGCAAGGGACGCUUUUUAUUCAACAGUUCGAGAAAGAAGGCUGUUCAUUUUAACGGAUGGCAAUUCGGCAGGUGAAGUCACCAUCGCCAUAAAGACCGAAUCACACGAGAUUCACCAGCCUCUCACAAGGAAGGUCAGUAAAGUCAAAGUAAGUGAAGGUGCAUCAGCUCAUAAAAGGAAGACUACAACAGAACCACCAAAGGUUUCCAAGAAAGCCAGAUCACUUGCCAAUGGCGGCUCAAGCACUGGAAGCCUACGGAGUGCCACAUCCACAAGUACAAAAAUAACCAACUCGCAUUGCCAAAAUCAGUGA
rnacentral:lncRNA from 1 species